GGUGGGGACGCCCAGCACCGCGGACGGAGCUGGACGGUCGGGCGUCCCAGGCGUUGACCCUCCUGCCAUCGCUACCCCGUUCCGCCCAGCGAGGCGGGGUGCGGGGCACCCGUGCAAGGCGAGGGAGGCUGGGGAGCUGCCCGUUCUGGGGGCCCGUCCCUCACGGAGCCCACCCACGCGGGACGCCCGUUCCCAGGGGGCCGGAUCAGCCAGGACUUUGUCCCCGUGGGCUCAAUUAGGACCCGGAUCUUCGGUGGAGCCCAGUGAGGACCCCUACGCCAUGGUGGGACCCCAUGAAUCAGAACCCCUGCUCCCCGUGGAGAUAGGUUAGGACCUCGGUCCUCUGUGGAGCCCCGUCAAGACUUUUCUGCCCCAUAGGGUCCGUUCGAUCAGGAACCCCGUCUCCGGUGGGGCUCUGCAAAUCAGGACGUCCUGUGGGGGGCAGCUCAGUGGGAACCCCCGUUCCCCAUGGGGCCCUGGAGGAUCUCAUUUUAGAGCCCAGUUGGUUGGGGCACCCGUUUCUAGGGACCUCACUGCGUCAGGACCCCGCACCCUGUGCAGCUCAGGAGUCAAAGGAUUCCUUUGGUCCAGAAGCCCAAUUUGGGACCCCAGAAAGAUUGGUCGGCUUGUGCUCCUCUCCCCUCCCUCCUUGGGGCUUCCGCUUCCGGUUCUGACGGACGCUUCGGCCGUAACGAUGAUCGGAGACAUCCUGCUGUUCGGGACGUUGCUGAUGAAUGCCGGGGCGGUGCUGAACUUUAAGCUGAAAAAGAAGGACACGCAGGGCUUUGGGGAGGAGUCCAGGGAGCCCAGCACAGGUGACAACAUCCGGGAAUUCUUGCUGAGCCUCAGAUACUUUCGAAUCUUCAUCGCCCUGUGGAACAUCUUCAUGAUGUUCUGCAUGAUCGUGCUAUUCGGCUCUUGAAUCCCAGCGAUGAAACCAGGAACUCACUUUCCCGGGAUGCUGAGUCUCCAUUCCUCCAUUCCUGAUGACUUCAAGAAUGUUUUUGACCAGAAAACCGACAACCUUCCCAGAAAGUCCAAGCUCGUGGUGGGUGGAAAAGUGUUCGCCGAGGUUCCGGGGCUUGCCUUCAGAACUGGAACCUUUGUGUAUCCCCAUCCCUACUUGAAGAUGUGAUUAAAAAAUUGAAGUCUUCUACCUAUCUUUGACAUGUCAAGGGGCUUGCUUCUGACAUGUCUGAUGAGCGCAUUCCUGCUGUUGCUCCUGGCUAUUACAAGGUGUCGCUGUGGAAGACUGUUCCUGUACAGCUGUGUGAACCUGCCUCGUCACGGCUUCCUCUGCAGUGCUCUUGAAUAUCCCGGUUCCUGCUUAGGCCACAGCAGUCAGUCCAGGGAGAAGCAUCCUUCUACUCCCUCACUGUCCAGGUUGGCUGAAGAUGCUCUGCACUUGACCUCCUGACACUAACUUCCUUGCCUUUUCCCAUGGCAAGAGCAAGUCAUGGACUCUGAACUACUUCCUCUCCCUUUCUUCUAUUUAUUUUAUUUUAUUUUAUAUUUGUGAUGGAGUCUCGCUCUGUCACCCAGGCUGGAGUGUGGUGGUGUGAUCUUGGCUCACUGCAACCUCCGCCUCCCAGGUUCAUGCAAUUCUCCUGCCUCUGCCUCCCAAGUAGCUGGGAAUACAGGUGCCCACCACCAUGCCCGGCUAAUUUUUGUAUUCUUAGUAGAGGUGGGGUUUCACCAUGUUGGCCAGGCUGGUCUCUUAACUCCUUACCUCAAAUGAUCCACCCAUCUUGGCCUCCCAAAGUGCUGGGAUUAUAGGUGUGAGCCACUGCACCCAGCCCUUCCUCUCCCUUUCUCUUUGGAGUUCCCCUCACAAACAGGUGAGGCAGCUUUUUCAAGGGCAUUCCAAGCACAAAAGACCUUGUUGUACCUAAAUACUAUAAGGGACCUGUCAUUGAGGACGCACCAUCACAGCAAGAGGAAUUAUCUCGUGCCGCAUCUUCGCAUAACUGACAGGAUCCCUGGCAAGGAUGUCUCAGUGCAGAAAGUUGGCUAAGUGAACUGCAGUAUCUACCCUGGACCUAAAAGAACUUGCUAAUGUUUUCAAGACUACAAUUCAGUGGCUGUCUGAUUUAAUCUUUGCAUUUACAAAAGCACCCUUUUACGUAUAUUAAAUGUGGAAUAAAACUAAAUAUCCGUAUGUGUUUUGUGUA